CGUCAACAAGCUCCCCCAAGCUUAACCUUUGCUCGUCCCUGAGCAAAGAUAAACUCAAGAGUUUCUGCAGUGGUUUCAUAACUUAAAGAUACACAUGCGUUUAAACAAGAUCUCAUCUCUGGUUAGAGUAAACUGCUAAGACUUAAAACUUACUCAUUUACCUUUCACCAUGGGACUUAUAACCGUCACCUCUAUCUUAAGUAGUUAAAAGAUAGAACAAUCUAGUCAAGCACCAUGUCUCUUGUUCUUCGAUUAACUAUAGCUCUGGAGUUUUUGCAGAUUUUCAAAUAAAACUCAGAGAUUCCUUGUAUGACUCUCUCUAGUCUCUCUUUUGUGGUAUUUCUGGAUCCUUACCAAGGCAGUAAUGGUAUAUGCCUUCUCUCAAAGUAUGUGGUAUUUGUGGUAUAAGGCAUAGUGACACUGCCUUCUCUCUCACCCUACUCUAAUAAGGUUUUGAUAUCUGGAGCUCAUAGGUGGGAGACAGCUAAUACAUACAUAUAAGACAUUUAUUGCAUAGUCAAACCAUGGAUCCAGAAGAUCAAGUCAAUAAGUCAAAUCAAGAUGUGCAUGUGUGGCGAAUGAAUGGUGUAUGGUGAUGAUGGUGAUAACAAUGGUGAAAGUCUAAUUCUACUUAUGCUCUUUUGAGGGGAUACAUACCUUUCUUGCUCUUUUGAAACUUUUUGAGGAGAAUGAGAUGCUCUAUAUUUUCUUUUUCUUUCCUCUCAGGUGGGUAUCUUGUACCACUAAUUCUAGUAUCGGACACUUGUCCAUUUUUACCUCUCGUCUCACUUUUUUUUUCUUUUUUUUUCUUUCGAGGUUCCGGGCACUUGCCCCUUUUUAUUUCCUCGUAUUCUUUCUUUUUUCUUUUCUUUAUUUUUUUUCUUCUUUUUUUUAGAGCACUCAUCUCCUGAAAUAAUAUAGCAAGUGGUAGUAACCAAGUAACUUGAGCAUUUAUUUCAUAGGGAAAAACAGAAAUAGGAGAAUGUUUUUGGCUAUUCUCUCCCGGAUUAGGAGUAGAAUAUUUUUGGGUGGUUCUGGAGAUGGAAAUGGGUGGAUAUAUGUGGAUGCGUACUUCGGGAGUAGAAGCAGCAUGUAUGAGUGAACGUGCAAGUGAAUCUUGAUUUAACCACAUGACAAGCUCCUAAGGGUCUACACAGCUUGACCACACUCAAAGCUCAUAAGCAGUAAAAAGUAAAUGUGUGGCUCAAAGUCUAGCAAGCAUGUAUAUAUGGCUGUGGUAGGAAUUUAAACUCUCAUCUUACAGGAACUCAUCAUGCAACAUUUUAAAGAUUUUCAAAGAUAAAAUUCUCCAGAAUUCUAGCAUCUCUAGGAACAAAUAAACAGCAGCUCAACCUUCCCAUAUCAUAUCCGUUAACAACUUAGACUUUAGAUCAAGUACUCUCCCCACAAGUUCAGGUUUAGAGCAAAUCUUAAUUAAUAACAGUCAUGCCUAAACUUGAGAGAGAUUUCAAUUUUGAGAACUAAUCAUGGCAGAGCAACUACUCAUCAUAUCCAUGUGAGAGCUUAUCAUGAGGGUUCAUAGCAAACUUUAUUUAUUUAUUUAGCAACUAAGCAAAGAACAUAAAAUCUUUAUUUGGAUUUUUAUGAUUAUGCAUCAUUUUAUUAUUUAAGUAAUGUAUAAACAUGAGUAGAAUACUUAGCUGGAUAAAUGGGGGUGCUCUCCCCCAAGCUGGAUUUUGACGUAAUUUCUUCUCAUGUAGCUAGUGUUGACACUUCUUAACGCAACCACCGGAUAUCGGCGACGGCGCCAGAAGUGCCCUGGUAGGGUAACUCUAUUUACUAUUGGAUAAUUCCACAAGCGCACAGAAUGUACCGCUGUAGCACUUCACCAAGGAGUAUUCCAAGGUAUCGUAAUUUAUAUUUUCCCAAGGGAAAGCGGCUAAGUGUGUUUAACAAAAAGGGGAAUGAGAUUCCUUGAGUUGUCUAGUAUCAACUAGUGAAUAAGGGUGGUAAAUAACGAAUAGGAAGGGUAGUGGUGAAUCCAAGGUCCUAUGCUAAAGGUAAAUGGUAGAGUUAGCUAGGUGGGAGGACAACGAGUGAGUAAAGGACUCCUAUGUAUCUAACUUGACUUCUGUGACAUACUUUAAUAGAUAAUUGCCUUAACUACACUAGAGCCUUACUAACUGUGUGCGAGGGAUAGCCGAGCUGGUAAGACGCUUAGAAGGUUUUUCACCUAACCCCUUACCGAAAGCGACUAUUGGGCUUAUGGACGCCUUACCUUUUAAGAACUAGCCUGUACGUGAGGAGAACCUAAUGCCGCCCACGAUCUGUCACCUACUAGGGAGUGCGCUCCUACUUUCCGUUCAAGCCAGCGGUAAUCAAAGGUAAUCUUAAGUAUGAGCACCACGCUCACACUUAAUCCUACAACUCUAACUAGUUGCAGCUAGCUAGAGCUCCUAUACAAGAUAGGACGAUGAUGCACACACAGGAGUGGUUACAGGUCACUAACUUCACUAAGACAACUAUAUUACUAAAGUAAAUGCACAACAAGACUAAAAGACUUGCAUUAAGUAAGAACUCAGUAAAGUAAAGUAAGAAUAAUAUAUUAAUAAAGGAAAGUCUUACAAAAGUAGAAAGGUACAAGAGCUAUACCAGACUCUCCAGAAGACGACUCCGGAGACCCCGAGCUUCGCUCGACUCGACUCUAACUCCCACUCUAGACUAACUACUACUCUACUUGUAUGCUUGGAACUUGUAAUGCACUUGGCCUUGGAAUUGCACACUUGAAAUGAAGGAUGGAGGCUGCCUUUUAUAGAGGGAGAUGGAGUAGGGGUUACUCCAUCGCCACGUCAUCGAUCCGCGUGACAUCUUCUCUCCACCCUUGGAUCAAACCGACCUCACAACCGCCAUUUGAUCAACGGCAGGGGCAAAUCAACAUGUGGGACAUGUGGGGAAGGUCGGUGGGAGGCCACCGACCCUGGAACCGCCUUUGAUGUGGGGUCGGGCGACCCCACUUCUGGGCCUCUGGGCCCACCAGCAGUGUCCACAGGGGUCCCUUAUGUCGGUGGACUAGGUGGCACACCUGGGUCCACCAAAGAGGGGUCGGGCGACCCCCUCCCUGUGGGCCCAGGGUGUCACCUGUUGUCCCCUCGAUCUCCUCUUGAUGAUUCUGAUGUUGGCUUUGUCAAAUAAUGUCUUGAAUUUGUUGUUCCUGCAUAAACAAGCUAAGAGUACAAGUGGAACUAGUUAUGGAUAAAAUAUGUUCAUGUCAUGUCAUUUCCCCUUGCAACCGAGGCAUGUUGACGGUGUUUUGUAUGUGGAUUUCUAUGGUAUAUCCACCGUCAACAAGAUCCCCCAAGCUUAACCUUUGCUCGUCCCGAGCAAACAAUCAAACUUAGCCUCGGUGGAUCAGGUAUUGUUACUAUGUUCACAUUUCAAGAGUACCAUGUGUACAACAAAGUUCUUCUCUUUGCAUGAAAAAUUUAGCUAUGUAAACUUACCCCUAUUACCUUAGUCCCUUAUGGGGCUUAUGGCUUUUCCUUUGUCUUAGGUGGUUGAGAGACAGAACAGUUUGACUUGAGCACUAACUUUCUCAUUCUUAGCAAGUUUCAUAUCAGAGGUUUUGUGAUAUUUUCAAAAGAAAGCUUAAAUGUUCCUCUUAUGGUUCUCUCAUGUCACUCAAAUGGUGUAUGAUUCCUCACCAAGGCAUAUGGUAAGAGUUGCCUUCUCUAUUUCAUCCUAUUUCUAAAAGGCUUAUGUGGAGUUCAAGGUAGGGAUGAAAGGAGAUAGCAUACUUACUUUGCAUAUAUUGCGAAAUCAAAGCUCGGAUCCUUGAAGAGAAGUGUCAUACUCCCAGAUCAAGAUGUGCAAGUGUGAUAUAUGGUGGACUAGGUUGCUCCUUUAUUUGAUAGACUCUCUAUGUAUUGAGACAUGGCUAGCUUUUUUUUAUAUAUAUAUGAGCUUUCAUGUGCUCAAUUUUCUUUUUCUGUGGACUUGCAUAUGUCCAUCUUUUUAUUUCAUUUUGCCUAGCCUUUUGAUGUCUCAUUUACCAAAUAAUGCUUAGAGAGAUGUUCUAACAUUUAGAGUAUGGAGCAACCUAUUUAGUGGAUGCGAAAUACAUGUGGUUGCGUACUUCCAGUGUAGAAGCAGCAUAUAUAUAUGUGGUGUGUAUGUGAUCUUGAUCUUAGGAGCAUGAAAAGUCUCUUAACAAGGGUCAACAAGACUUGACGACACUCAACACAAAGCAAAUAGCUUAUGUGGAAAGAUUGCAAUUAUGUAAAGUAGAUAUGGCUGUGGUAGGAAUUCAUCACCAUUGAGGAACAAUUAAGGUUUUGAUCAUUUUAAGAAUAAAUCUCUGAUAAUCAUGCAUGCUUAGAAAAAUAUUGUAGUAGCUCUUGUCUUACUAUCUCAUGUCCCACAACAACUUAGACUUAGUUCUAGCACUUGCAACCCACAAAGUUUUUAGGUUCAUGGCAGUUUAAGUGAGCUAAGUGAUCCAUACUUAGAGAAAUACUAAGUUGUAUACUAGGUACUAGAGAAACAUUAACAAGCAACUAGUCAUCAUUUCCAUGAGGGAUAUAAACAUACAUGAAGCAUAUAUGCUAAAGGGAAAUGCUAAUAAAUAUUUAUUUUUUUAAGUAAGAAUGAUAAAAUGCAUGAAAAUAAAUAGGAUAGAAUACUUACCUUAGUGGGGGAGAGGAUCUCCCCCAAGCUAGAUCUUCGCUCACUGUGGUGGCGGGAAAUUCUGGUACCAUCCAGCCCAGCGUUGUGCGUCUUCCUCUCGCACACGUCGGAUAUGUUGGCCGUUUUGUAACGCCAGUUGCAAUGUUGCUUCUUGCCCAAUCUGCAAUUCGCCCAUGUCAUUAAUGAGACUGUCCAUACCUGUGGGCUGGUGAUGCCUAGCCCUGCCCCUUGGGCGUGGAGUGCGUUGUGGAGGUAGACCCAUGGAGUCUGAAGCAUCCACUGACAUCGCUUCAUCGCCCUCUUCAACGUCAUGGUGCGAGGAUCCUCCUUGCUCCAUCUGGGCGGCUUGCAUCAUCCUUCUUGUCACCCUGCGUGUCCCUGCAAUAUCUGGACUUGCCACUUGGGCUAGUCUAAUGGUAAGUGUGCGGGCCCCAUACAACCGGCGCCUCGCACAUGGGAGAGGAAUUUCGGUUGUAUAGCCCGGAUAAAUCAUUUUAAGUUCACCAUUUGGAUUUCUUAUGAGCAUGUUAGCAUUGAUAAAGAAGUUCUCAUCUACCACUCCUCUAACAUAGCCAAUGUCUUCAAAAUAAUGUGAUUCAAGUAAUCCAAAAGUAUCGGCUAUUCGAGUAAUAAAGGAUGUGAAAUAGAUGGGCUUCCCAUACUCAAUAGAGUUAAGCCAAUAGUUCACUAGCAGUUUCACAGGGGAGACCUUGAUUUUACUAACCAUGGCAUAGAGAAUUUUAAGUUCAUCAUCAAUUAAAGUAUCAGUUCCCAUGCCAGGAUAUAGAGUGCACAUGAUCCAGAAGUGAAGAAAGCGCAAGGUUGGAUUAUGGAUUUCAAUGGGAGUAGGAUUUGAACAAUCAUUAGAGCCAGAAAUUGCUUUCCAAAAUCUAAAUUUAUCGAACAUUCUAGUGGCAUGAUCUAGAUCAAGUUCACAUUCAUGUUCACACCCUAAAGCAGUGUUUAGCAAACUCCAAUUUAAUUGAUGUUCUUGCUCACACAUGCGAAAAGAUAUUCCAUUAUUUGUGAGUUUUAGGGUGCAUAGAAAUUCCUUAGCAAGCAAUUCUUUUCCAAAUUCAGGCACUUGCCAAAAACUACUCCAACCAAUUGCUCUAAACACCUUAUCGAAUUCAACAUCCAUACCUGUGCGGGCCAAAAGGUCCGGAUCGAUGAUGCUAGUGUGUAGGAAGAGACCCUCUCGGAUGAUGUAGUACCAUUGCAACUCUUCUUGGCUUAACAUGAGGCCACUCUCGGGCUCUCUCAUCCUUGAUGGAGGCUCGUAGGGUACCAUCCCAUGGUAACCUUCUUCUUCCUCCCUUCCAUGAGCAUGGUGAGAGCCUUGAGAAGAGCUCUCACCCUUUGCUUUCUUGAACUUGCCGAAGAUAUGCUUCUUCAUCCUCCUACACAAGUGAGGCAAACCAAGCUCCUACUACUACUACUAUGCAAGGGGAAUCUUUUUGGGUUUUUGUUUUGAUGACUAUUUCUAAACUAAACUUGAGAAAUGGCUUGUAACAAAGAGAGAAGAGAAAGGAUUGUGAGCUCGAAAUGGUUCUGGUGGUUUUGGGUGUGGAGUUGAGCUCACAAUGCUGUGGUAUUUAUAGGGGGAGAAGGGCAAGUAGUGGACCCACAAUAUAGGGGUCGGCCGACCCCCCUAGAAGCACUUUGAAUUUGAACUUAGCUUUAUACAGGGAACCAUUCUGCAUGCUUUCAAGAUUUUGCAGAGAUGGUCCAAAAUGGGGGUCGGCCGACCCCCAUCCUAGCCCCUCCUCCACUUUAAACAUUGUGUCAUUGAUUGUCCAGAAAAGUAAAGGCUAGGUGUGGACCAAAAGUUUUCAAAUUGUUUCUGAGAUUCCCUGUUUUAGUGCUUUGUGAAAGGUAAAAGAUGAAUGGCAAAAGUGGAGACAUGUCUAAAGUGAUUCCUAUGGACCAUGGGAGCACUCAAGCAUGCCUAGGUGACCACUUUGCAGAAUUUAAGCUAGUGGAGUGGUCCCAAAAGAAUCAAAGAUGAAAGGAGCAUCUUAUGACUAAAGUAAAGGAUCAAGGGACCACUUUUUUUCAAACUUUAGCUAGUGUUACAAGCAUAGGACUCCAUUGUGAUUCAAAUGGUGGCCAGCAGGAGGCAAGUGGGGCCAAUAUGGGGGUCGGCCGACCCCCACAUUGGAGCUCCCAGAGCAUCCAAGUGCUGGGUUGGAACCUCUAUGACUAGCAAGGUUGAAAUGUGGUGAAGUGGGCCCCAAGGUGGGGUCGGGCGACCCCCCUUUGGGAGCUCCAGCAGCUCAAAUUUUUAUGACAAGUUAUUCUCAAGAUUUUAUUUAUUAUGGCUAAACAUUUUGUCGAAAUAAGAUAUGCAAAAUUCAAAGUAAGAAUGCAAUUGAAAAGUGAAUAGUAGAAAUUGAAAUGCAGAAAAUAAAUAUGGGAUAACUACUGAUUUACCUUAUCAGCAAGGGCUCCAUGUUUUAGGUCCGUAGAGCAGGACCUCUCCAUCUUGUUCAUUCUUCGGGUGCAUCAGAUGGUCCCGGAGACGUGGACCUUGAUUGCACCUCUUUCUCCCGCCAUACUUGCUUGGUAUUGAUUUUUGGUUCAGCGGGUUCCUCUUCUUUCUUUUCGGCCCUUUUGGCCGACUUACCUCUCUUGUCCCUUCGGCGUCGGAUGUGGCGAGGCUUAGUCGGAGGUUCUUUGUCCUUCACCUGCAUGUUAGCUUUAUAACCAUUGAAUGGACAUUUUACCUUCCAUCCUGGGAAUUGGAGGUGAAUCUGGCCGGACCCCACAUAGAUGACUGCAUUGACCGUGUUGAGGAAUGGCCUUCCCAAGAUGAUCGAGACAUCAUUAUUGGAUCCCAUAUCCAAAAUGAUGAAGUCGGCAGGGACGUAGUCGUCUUGGACCUUUACCAGUAUGUCCCUUGCCAACCCCUCAGGGAACCUGAUCGUCUGAUCUGCCAUCUGCAAACGAACAAAUGUGGGGUGCAAAGGCCCCCCUAGCAAAUUAUCAUAAGUUACCUUGGCCAUGAUGUUGACACCCGAUCCAAGGUCGCAGAAGGCGUUGUGGAAGAUUUGCGGUCCGAUCUCACAGGUGAUGGUCGGCAGGCCUGGGUCGUCUUUCUUGGUGAUGAAGGGCGAAUCCAGAAGAUAGCUCCAGUUGGAUUGUACCGGAGGCUUACCGAACCUCGUAGUAACUAGUUUAACUCCUUCAAUUGGGUCCUCAGGUUUCCCUGGGAUCUUACCUUGCUCGAAGGAUGGGACAGCUGCUGCUAAUUGAGCUAAUUGUGUUUCUAGCAUUUUGUUAAAGCUCAACUGAUUUUUCAUAGCAGAGUUAAAGCUAUCCAACUUUUCACUUAAGUUUUCAGGGAUCUUAUCAUUAGCCAUGAUUUUCUUGUUAAUGCUAUCAUUGAUUUUAGAUUGGCCUAAGACAAGAUCUCUAAGAGAAGGUUGGUUACCAAAAGAAUUAUUGAAAUUUUGAUUGUAACCAUUACCUUGAUUACCUUGGUAGAAGGGGCGCGAGUUCCAUUGCUGUUGUUGGGGCCGGUACCCAUUGUUGUUGUUGUUGAUGAAGCUCACUUCCUCCUUUGUUUCGGGACAAUUGUUUCCCGAAUGAUCAUCUCCUCCGCACACUUCGCACCAUGAAUCAGAUUCAAUGGCCCGUGCAGUGGCGUAAGGUUGAAUGGUCUCUUGCUUGGAACUUUCUUCCAUCUUCUUCAUUAAGAGGUCCAUCUUAGCAGAGAGCAUGUCCACCUCAUUCAAGGCAUGGACACCUCUUCUCUUGGGUUGGAGGCGUUCCGCAUUCCAUCCUUGGUUUAUAACCAUCUUUUCAAUGAGGUCCUUGGCAUCCUUGACAUUGUGUUGCAAGAAUGCUCCUCCAGCGGCAGCAUCAAGGUGACUACGGGCCAAACCGGUCAGGCCAUGGUAGAAACCUUGGAUUAGGAGCCACUCCUCUAUCCCAUGAUGAGGACAGGCGCGAAUGUACUCCUGCAGACGUUCCCAUGCUUCGGGAAUCGUCUCAUCCGCUUGCUGUUGGAAGCUGGAAAUCUUUCCACGAAGGGCGCUGGUCUUGCCCAUCGGAAAGAACUUCUUGAGAAAUGCAUUGGCGCACCUCUCCCACGUGGUCACUUCACCCUUGUUGGCGUAGAACCAUUGCUUCGCCUUCCCCAAUAACGAGAAUGGGAAGAGGCGAAGACGGAUGGCGUCUGCGGCGACAUUCUUGAUGGUGAAGGUGCCGCACACCUCCAAGAAGUGUUGGAGAUGGGCAUUGGCAUCCUCGUGUGGCUUUCCACAGAAGGGAUUGGCUUGCACCAUAUUGAUAAGCGCAGGCUUCAACUCAAAAGUCGCAUCCCCCAAGUUAAGCUGCGGACCCGUGGCGACAUUGUCAGCCGACGGCGCAGAGUACUCAGAGAUGGUCUUCUGGGCCAUAGCUUCUUUGAUAACCGGUGCAGAUACUCCUUCCUCUAACGGAUUCAGGUUCGAGAUGAACCUUUGAGGUGGAACUUGACGACGUCUAGUUCUCCUCAACAGUUGCUCAGGAUCUUCAACGAAGUUUGACGGCAAUUGGAAACAGCUCAUACACUGUCAGGCUUCACAAUAAAGGAAGACAAGACAAGUGAUGGGUUAUCCCUAUCACUACUUGAUAACUAGCAAACUCUGGAUUCUCUUUUUGUUAAAACUCUUAGACAGACGCUCUCCCCGGCAACGACGCCAGAAAUGCUUGUUGACACUUCUUAACGCAACCACCGGAUAUCGGCGACGGCGCCAGAAGUGCCCUGGUAGGGUAACUCUAUUUACUAUUGGAUAAUUCCGCAAGCGCACAGAAUGUACCGCUGUAGCACUUCACCAAGGAGUAUUCCAAGGUAUCGUAAUUUAUAUUUUCCCAAGGGAAAGCGGCUAAGUGUGUUUAACAAAAAGGGGAAUGAGAUUCCUUGAGUUGUCUAGUAUCAACUAGUGAAUAAGGGUGGUAAAUAACGAAUAGGAAGGGUAGUGGUGAAUCCAAGGUCCUAUGCUAAAGGUAAAU
rnacentral:lncRNA from 1 species